GUGCCAGCAGCCGCGGUAAUACGGAGGGUGCAAGCGUUAAUCGGAAUUACUGGGCGUAAAGCGCACGCAGGCGGUYUGUUMAGUCAGAUGUGAAAUCCCCGGGCUCAACCUGGGAACUGCAUUUGAAACUGGCAAGCUUGAGUCUYGUAGAGGGGGGUAGAAUUCCAGGUGUAGCGGUGAAAUGCGUAGAGAUCUGGAGGAAUACCGGUGGCGAAGGCGGCCCCCUGGACGAAGRCUGACGCUCAGGUGCGAAAGCGUGRGSAGCAAACCGGAUUAGAUUCCCUGGUAGUUCC
rnacentral:rRNA from 1 species